GUGGGGAAUAUUGGACAAUGGGCGAAAGCCUGAUCCAGCCAUGCCGCGUGUGUGAAGAAGGCCUUUUGGUUGUAAAGCACUUUAAGCGAGGAGGAGGAGCUUCAGGUUAAUACCCUGGAUGCUUGGACGUUACUCGCAGAAUAAGCACCGGCUAACUCUGUGCCAGCAGCCGCGGUAAUACAGAGGGUGCAAGCGUUAAUCGGAUUUACUGGGCGUAAAGCGUGCGUAGGCGGCUAAUUAAGUCAAAUGUGAAAUCCCCGAGCUUAACUUGGGAAUUGCAUUCGAUACUGGUUAGCUAGAGUAUGGGAGAGGAUGGUAGAAUUCCAGGUGUAGCGGUGAAAUGCGUAGAGAUCUGGAGGAAUACCGAUGGCGAAGGCAGCCAUCUGGCCUAAUACUGACGCUGAGGUACGAAAGCAUGGGGAGCAAACAGG
rnacentral:rRNA from 1 species